CUCUGAUGAUGACUGAACAAGGCACUGAUC
rnacentral:piRNA from 1 species